GGUCCCUGCCUCCAAGAACCUUACAGCUUAUCAUCAGGGACACAGACAUAAAUAAUGAGAUGUAUCGAAUGCAGUGUGGUAAGUGCACGCCGGGGCUGAGUGCAGGGAUGGGGGUUGGGUGAAGGACAAGGAUGCAUUCCCAGAAGUGAUAGUGAGCUGGGUCUUGAGAGAGAGAGAGCUGGCUUAAGCAACCACAGGCAUGCCAGGCCGAAGGAACAUGAAGCGAGGGAGAGCUUUGAGCCUCUGAAGCGCUGCGAGCAGCUCAUUGUAGCUGGAAUGAAGAUUAGGAGGCCUUGAGGUGAGCGAACAGCCUGGGAAAGUAGGUUGAGGCAGAGUCUAAGAGGCUUGGUGCGCUGGGCUAAGAGGUUGGAAUCAUUCCAGAAGGCAAAAGGGAACCACCCUGCAAACAGGGAAGUAGCAUGAUUGUGUUUACAGUUUAGAAGGAUAACUCAGGAGGCAUUUUGGAGGAUUUAUUGAUAGGAGGGGGGAAAAGAGUGAAGCAGAAGAGACUGAUGUAGGGCAGAUUCAAACGUUACAGCAUGGAGCCUGCUUGGGAUUCUCUCUCUCUCUCUCUCUCUCUCUCUCUCUCUGCCCUCUCCUGCUCGCAGGCUCUCUCUCUCUGUCUCUGAAAAUAAAUAAAUAAACUUAAAGAGAGAGAGAGAGAGAGAGAGAGAGAAGCCUCCACAGGUCUUGGAAACCAAUUGGAUUUUGUGCAUGACCGAGAAGGGACGCUCAAGGGUGACAGGUUCACAGAACAAUUGCUUUGGGUGUGAUGUCCCGAGCAAGAAAUAACCCACAUCAGGGAUGGAACGAGGGCGGCAGGCACAUGGUGAAAAUAAGUCAACAGAGAAAGCAAGGAAGAGAUGGGCCCUUCAUCAGACGGUUUUUGGCUUUAUCGAUACAAAACUAUUCCAGCUAAUUGUUCCCCAAGGUUUUCAAAAGGACUAAAAUGCCUUAGCACCAAAUCCCAACAUUCCUGGCACACAAACAUGGCUGUACGAAGGGACGACUCUUUCUGGCUGGGCAGUCUCUGUGCCGGGCGAGCAGGCAGAGGCCUCACAGGUGAAGCUUCUUCAUAAACGCAGUGACCAAGGAAAAACCAAUUGCUGCUUUCACAUUGUGCUCGUGUGAUCGAGAUGAUUCUGCCGAGCUGCUGUUAAUACUUCUGCAAUUGUCAAACGAGCCAAUGAGAAAUGCAUCGAAGUUGCUCCACACCAGCGCUCAGACCCAUUACUGUAGGUCACAACAGCGAUUACUUCUUGCCAGAACAUGCGCUUACGGAGAGGUGCCUCCAAGAUACAGCAAUCUUGUUUGUCCGAGAAGCCCUCGCCGUUUCUAGGGGAACAUGGGGCAGAUCUGAAAGCCCGGUCUCACUAGUACGUGGCAGAGCUCCUCCUGAGGUCACACAUUUGGAAUAACAAAUGUCACAGAUCCCCUAUGUUGGCUUGACCCCCCCCCCACCCCUUUUUCCCUAGCCAUUUUGACCAUGAACAUAUCUGGAUGCGGGGCGCCUGCGUGGCUCAGUCGGUUCAGCACCCGACUCUUGGUUUCGGCUCAGGUCACGAUCAGGAAGUUUUGUGGGUUUGAGCCCCACAUCGGGGCUCUGCGCUGGGAGCAUGGAGCCUCCUGCUGGGAUUCUCCCUCUCGCUCUCUCUCUCUGCCCCUCCCCCAUUGGCACUGUCUCUGUCUCUCUCAAAAUAAGUAAACUUAAAAAAAAAAAAUACCUGGAUGCUUGGAACUUCUCAGCAAACACAAAACUUACAAAGCUCACAGAGGCUUGGAAACAUAGCCUAUCUGCAGGCAAUGAGAUUGUAGGUGGGGAUUGAGGAUAAAGGAUAAAAGAGGUUUCGGUGUUGAAUGAGGGGAAACCACAUUGUACCAAGACACAACAAAAACCCUGAUGAACAGAUCUGCGCGAGGUGACAGUAGAGGGGGUGUGUGUGUGUGUGUGUGCACGCGCGCAUGCAAUGACGCAUGUGAGCGAGGUGAAAGGGGGUGGGAGUGUGUGAGGCAGGGUGAGCAAGAAAAGGAAAAGAGAAGUGGGGGAGGGGGAUGAGAGAGAAUGCUCUGGUAAUCUCUGGGAGCUGAGCUGACUUCCCACCACGUUGAGGGGCCAUGCCUGCUGGUGACAGUAUGUGUCCUGUCCCCAUACAAGACAAUGUGAAAGGGACAGAGUCAGUGGGGACAGCUCUAGAGGAUCUGUAGAAUGGAGAGAGUUCGGCUUGAACUUGCUUCAUUGCUAUUUUUGGACCAGCUAGCAGUCGUGGGAAAGCAGAAAUAACAAAAUGGGGACCCUUCAGUGGAUUUGAGUUGAAAUGGAGUCCUGAGCCCAUGAGGACUUUCCUGCGGUGGAGUGUCAUUGCUCUUUUUGACAAGCAACAGAGCAUUCGAGAAACUGGCAGGCCUGACUGACCAACCUGAUGCAGUGGUUGUCUGCAGAGUGGGCUUAAUAGUCUGCCCUUUCUGAGGGUCUGCUUGCUCAAGGGCAGGGAAGAAUGAGAGAAGCAGACUAGACAAGAGGCCUCUUACAAUUUCCUUGAACUCCCACUUGUAGGGUCAUCAUUACACAUGACGAUGUCUAGAAAGCCAUCUGGCAAAUAACCGGCCCCAAGCUGGGAUUAUUAAAAAUGAGGUUUAGGAAGAACGAGGCACAAUCAGGGCCAUUAUGAGAACCAGGUCUAAGGGACCGGACAUAACAUGAUAGAAGGCUCAUUUAUAAGACAAAUCUCCACGCCAUGAAGAACCUUAUUUCUUUUCUGAGUAAAGCUUUUUAGUUCUUUUUAGCCUUCCUGUGUUUUUUAA